UUGGGGCUGACGGACGGGAGUUGCGUGGUCCUCCGUCAUCCCAGUUGGUCCCGUGAGAUUGCGCUCUUUCCGCCCCGGGACGAUUUGAAUCUGCACAGCAGGUUUCUUCCGAACGAGCUCAAAUUAGGAAGGUCGUCCGUGGACCCAAAUCUGGAGAUUAUCUUGGGGCCUCGGAUGAGGUUCCGGGUGACGCCUUUCUAUGAUGGGGAAGGUGUCCACUAUGCCCGGUGGGUACCGCAGACGACGUUGGACUUGGGAUUUUUGGCGAGGGACUCCAAUCCCGUGGAGGACGGCAGACGUCUGGUUGUGAGGGCGAGGAGUACCAGCCUCCAAUUUCUGUGAUGGAGGUGUCCCCCAACGAGUCGCGUCGAAGUCUUCGACCUUUGCCGCAUCGCAGAGAAGAUCGUGGUCAUGUUUUGGGGUACAACCUACCCGAGUGUCGAGUUGUGUUAACUCGCCUUCCUGAGGUAGGCUCAGGGAGUGGCAGGGCUUCUGGAAUCGAAGUCAUAGAUUUAACGUGCUCAGGUGAGGUGCUAUUGUUGUCAUAUGGUUUGCUCAGUUAAGGCUGAUUAUGUUGUUGUUGCUUGCUUCUAUGCUUCUUGUUAGAUGAUGACGCCGCAGCAGUUGGCACGGUGGUAAGUAGUUAUCGUUGAGAUGUCUGUGGAUUGGUCUGUUUUUAUUGAUUUUUUUUUGUUGUUUGUUUGUGUUUUAUUAUUAUUUAUGUCGUUUUUUGUUUGGGGGGUGGUUGUGUUUGUGUUGGUUUAUUUUUUGUUCUUUCUUGCGAGUGGAGAAGUAAUGGUGACAUGUGUGUUUAGGAGGUGGGCCACAGAACUGAAAUGCAGCCGGGUAGUAGUGGUGGAAGAGGGACAACAGGCGGCAGUAAUUAUCAAGUCCAAUAUUCGGGACCGGAGGAGGAGGAGGACUUGGAGGCGUUGUUUGUUAAGGUGAAACGUGUCCGGAAGGAGAAGAAGUCUUCCACUGGUGCAGGUGAGACCGAGAGGAUCGCCAACCAGGCCGGUGGUAGCGGGAGGGUGAUAGCGGAAGGAAAAACGAGGAUAAAGGCCAGGUCGAAAAAG